rnacentral:lncRNA from 1 species
UGUGUAUUUCUUUUUCUUGUCUUACAAUACUAGUGAGGACCUCGAGGAAUUUCCUGUUGAGCAGUAGUGGCGAUAAUCGAAUCCACCUUGUUCCUCAUCCCAAGCCGUGAGGACCGAUGGCACUCCUGUCUGGAGCCUAGCAUACACUUGGCGCUCAGUGGACGUCAGUGGGAACAGGAGGCCCGUGUGCUCUCAUUCCCCAGGCCCAUCUUGGUCCAGGGUUGGAAGCGGGGAAUCCUCAUCCGACGGACUUUCUCUCUGCAGAACCUGGGCCUUCAGAGACACACGGCGUUGGCCUUUCUCCGCUUCACAAGGGAGUGCUUGGGUGAAGCUUUUAUUCCACACUUUUCUCUUCUCCCAGGGGAAUGGAAAGCGGCCCCUCCCCCCAGCCCUGAGCCCUGCGGGCCUCAGC